rnacentral:misc_RNA from 1 species
GCUUGUUAAACAGCUUCAAACAGUGGCAACUGAUGAGAUGGACAACAAGCUGCUUCAACUAUACUCCUAUGAAAAAUCAAGAAAACCUGGAAGAUUUGUUGAUGUAGUUUAUCAUGAAAAUGCCCGUGUUCUUCUCCAUGAUGAGAACAUAUAUCGUAUAGAAUGUUCUUCCACACCAACCCAUUUGUCUAUUCAGCUAAUGGACUUUGAACAUGAUAAGCCUGAAGUGACUGCUGUCUCCAUGGAUCCUAAUUUUGGAGCUUAUCUGCAUAAUGAGUUCCUCUCCAUUGUUCCUGACAAGAAAGAGAAGCCUGGGAUAUUCCUGAAAAGGAAUAAAAACAGAUGUGUGAGUUGUGAUGAAUGCAAGGCUACAGAAGGAUUUCAAGUUUUUAAUGGUCU